rnacentral:rRNA from 1 species
AUUGAACGCUGGCGGCGUGCUUAACACAUGCAAGUCGAUCGGUAACAGGUGUAGCAAUACAUGCUGACGAGAGGCGGACGGGUGAGUAAUGCUUGGGAAUCUGCCUAUUAGUGGGGGACAACCCGGGGAAACUCGGGCUAAUACCGCAUACGCUCUACGGAGGAAAGCCGGGGACCGCAAGGCCUGGCGCUAAUAGAUGAGCCCAAGUCGGAUUAGCUAGUUGGUAGGGUAACGGCCUACCAAGGCGACAAUCCGUAGCUGGUCUGAGAGGACGACCAGCCACACCGGAACUGAGACACGGUCC